rnacentral:rRNA from 1 species
CGCAUCUGUGCAUGCAGCAUAUCAAUAAGCGGAGGAAAAGAAACUAACAAGGAUUCCCCUAGUAACGGCGAGUGAAGCGGGAAGAGCUCAAAUUUGAAGUCUUAAAGGGUUUCCCUUUACGAAUUGUAGUCUAAAGAAGUGUUUUCUGUUGAGGUUUUGGUAAAAGUUCUUUGGAAUAGGACAUCAUAGAGGGUGAGAAUCCCGUAUUUGACCUUUACUUUCAACUUUGUGAUACACUUUCAAAGAGUCGGAUUGUUUGGGAAUGCAGUCCAAAAUGGGUGGUAAAUUUCAUCUAAAGCUAAAUAUUGGCGAGAGACCGAUAGCGAACAAGUACCGUGAGGGAAAGAUGAAAAGAACUUUGAAAAGAGAGUUAAACAGUACGUGAAAUUGUCAAAAGGGAAGCGUUUGACACCAGUGUUGUUUUUCUGAAAAUCAAUUAAAGAACUGUUUAUGCUAAGUUGUUUAGACUUUAUCAGCUAACUGUUUAGUUUUGAGCUUUUCUUUAAUGCACUUUUCAGUUAACAAGUCAACAUCAAUUUCUUUUGCUGUAAAAAAGCUUGAGGAAGGUGGCUUGAGAUUCGUCUUAAGUGUUUAUAGCCUCUUGCCUAUGCAGUCGGAGAGAUUGAGGUCUGCAGCGUAGAUCCUUCGGGGCUAAAUGCAUUUGUGCUAAGUUAUAGCAUUUUAUAGACAACUUGUUGACUAUGAUUUGUCUUGUAGCUUACUCGCUUAUGUUAUUUUACCUACGCUUAGGAUGUUGAACGCGCACAGAGUCUC